UUUUGUUUUUCCCUAAGAGUAUCUUCUUGUUUUUAUUUUUCCUACUUGCAGGUGAAUGUGGUAAGGGUCGAUCCAACACUGCCACCUCCCCCACCCAAAAGAGCCCUACGAGAAGAAAAUCACGUGAUCCUUGGGCAAAGGGGGAAUGUGGUAAGGGUUGAUCCAACACUGCCUCCUUCCCCACCCGAAAGAGCCCUACGAGAAGAAAAUCACGAGGAGUGUUCCUCGGACAAAAGGUGAAUGUGGUAAGGGUUGAUCCAACAUACCUGAGGCUCAACCUUAUUCGAGGAAAAUCUUUGUCGGGGGAUUGCCACCAACCGUCACUGUGGAAUUCCUCAGGGCUUUCUUUGAGAAUGGUGAGAUCUUUGACUGCUUUAUACCCUCAUAUCAUCGGACGGGCCAAUCCAGGCGGUUUGGGUUCGUGGAAUUCCAUAGUAGGGAGUCAAUGAGAUCUUGAACGGUGCUCAGAGUAGGUUUUACGAAUUAGGAGAUAGGUAUGUGGAGGUGAAGACUGUUAUACGCAAGGAAGUAAAUCAAUAGCUAUGGGUGCAGACCAUUGGCACUAGCUACUAUUCCUCUCAUUUAUAGAUGAUAUUAUAAUUUUUUUUCCCUUUUUGAUCAAGAGUGGAUAUUAUAACCAUAAAUAGAAUAACGUCCAAAAUUGAUACUAUUUGUGCUACAUAUGUUACGGUAAAACUCCAUAAUUAAAUACAAAUGCAGUUUGAUUGUCAUCGCAUUUGCUUUAAUACGUAGAUAUACUAUACAUAAUUUAGUAAGUAGAUUUUCCACAUAUUGCAAAGUGAUAUUCGUACAUUUUUCUUAGGUAUUUUCUUUGUUUAGUGAUUACCCAUUGAACCUGCCCCUUUUCUCUGUCGAAAAAAAACACAAACCUUUUCCUGGAAAAUA